GGAGAAGUACCCAAGUGGCCGAAGGGGCUCCCCUGCUAAGGGAGUAGCCGGUGUUGAGCCGGGCCCGGGUUCAAAUCCCGGCUUCUCCGCCA
rnacentral:tRNA from 1 species